rnacentral:lncRNA from 1 species
CCCAAAAUCAAUCCCAACCUUCCUUUUGUGGUCAUAAACCUUGUGUUAAAAUUUCAUAGAUUUCUAUUUACUUAUACUAAAGUUAUUGUGCAAAAACCAAGAAAAAUGCUUAUUUGGGCUCUUUUUUUGGCCCCUUAUUCCUAAACUGUUGGGACCAAAACUCCCAAAAUCAAUCCCAACCUUCCUUUUGUCGUCAUAAACCUUAUGUUAAAAUUGCAUAGAUUUCUGUUUACUUAAACCUAAGUUAUUGUGCGAAAACCAAGAAAAAUGCUUAUUUGGGCCCUUUUUGGCCCCUAAUUCCUAAACUGUUGGGACCAACACUCCCAGAAUCAAUCCCAAC